rnacentral:lncRNA from 10 species
UUUGGACCCAGCACACCUGCACCCAGGGGAAAUAAACAGCUUUAUUGCUCACAGAAAGCCUGUUUGGUGGUCUCUUCACACAGACACGAGUGAAAUUUGGUGCUGUGACUUGGAUCGGGGGACCUCCCUUGGGACAUCAAUCCCCUGUCCUCCUGUUCUUUGCUCCGUGAGAAAGAUCCACCUACAACCUCAGGUCCUCAGACUGACCAGCCCAAGAAACGUCUCACCAAUUUCAAGUAUGAUGUUUUGUGAGCAGUUGUAUGAACCCAAAAUGGAGUCAAGAGCUGGACUUAGACAGAUUGGAGCAUAAGAUCACAACUGCUAUGAAGACAUCAAUUAUGGCCAGACAUCCUUUACUAAACGGCAUCCCUCUGACCCUGCACAAUUUUUCAAAUUGUAACAGAACACAAG